rnacentral:lncRNA from 1 species
GAGGAGGAGGAGAUCAUCUUUGCCCAGACCAAUGUUCUGAAGCAUUUUCCGAAAUGUUUCCUUCCCAAAUGUUUCAGUUCUUACCUUUCAAUCUUUAAUUCAUUUAUAGUUGAUAUCUGUCCGGUAAUAGAUAGGGAUCUAAUUUCAUGUUUCAACAUGUAGAUAAGGAAUGGCAUACAUUUCAUCACACAAAAGCCCAGGAAAGGAUUUGUCUAAUAAGGCACAAAUAGUAAAAUUUAAAAACAUCAGAGUCCAGAAUAGACCUGGCUGUUAUGUUCCAAGUGUUAUAUAUUUCUUCCAAACUGACUCCAAUGUUGGAGCAAAUAAACUAGGAACAUGUUUUGAAAAAAUUGAAUGUAGAAGCAGAUGUAACCUUUCUGUAUCCAUUUAUUGUACAAAUUCUGUAAUUCAUAUUAAUGGAGGGGAUUGGUGGGAGGGCCUGGCCUACAGUAAAGAAGGAGAAAUGAGAU